CAUAUUUUAGUUCUAGAUACAUCCAUUUUUAUCCAUUGGGGGGGGGGGGCGAAGCAGAGGAUGGACGUGCAUAAAAAGGACGAGAUUGAGAAGUCACAUCUCGAGAAAUGCGCAUCCAACGACUGACAAGAUCCCAACACUGAUAGCCCUUGUGCUCAUCACUUUAACCUAAGAAGGCAUUCAACAGAUUGAUCGGACAGUUUGGUGUGUGAAGAACGUAGCAAACGCAACCAAACAAAGUGUUUAGUAAUACAUCCGUCCGAAAAUACUUGUCGGAGUAAUGGAUGUAUGUAGACAUAUUUCAGUUUUAGAUGCAUCCUUUUUAUCCAUUUGUGCGACAAGCAAUUCCGGACGAAGGGAGUUGUUAGGGGAAUGCCCACAAAGACGCUCGGAAUGUCACCAUGUAGAGCAAAGGAGGGAUGAUUAUUGAUGAGGUAGGUGGCUACGAUCAUCAACGCACUAGCCGCCUCAUGAAGGUGGCGAUGCUUGCGCUUAGCAACACCAUUCUGACCACGAGCACAAGACGAGAACCGAGCAAGUGUGCUUUUCUCAACAAGGAAUUCGUGCAGCAAAUGAGGGAUAUACACACAAGCAGAAUCUACACGAAAGACAUGGAUAUGAGUGGAAAACUGAGUAUGAACCAAGGCGACAGACUUCUUAUAGAUAGACCUCACUACAAGAAGGCAUAAAAUAUAUCGACUUGUGUCUAGAGAAAUCAUUAUAAAGAUAAUAUAGUGGCGAUGGCCUCCUUUCAAGGCAAAGGCAGCUGGAUCCCAAACAUCAUAGUGAACAAGAUCGAAAGGACGUCGAGACAGAGUCUCGCUCUAAGGAUAAGGUAAUUGAACGUGUUUACCCAACUAACAAUCUUGACUGUCUAAAGACACAUUACCAGAGACAGAUCCAAGGAGACCACGUCGAACUAAGGAUGAGAGUCAAGAACCACACAUGCGACUGCGACGAUCAUGCCAGAACGAGUGGGUAGACGAGGUAAGUGAGUCGAAGGGACCAGCGGCGGGUGUAGCGGAGGGAAGGCGAAGCCUGGCACACUCCAGAGGGUGUGUGACUCAUAGCACUGAGGGCCAACACCAAGUAGAGAACCCGUGUGCCGAUCCUAAAUCGGAACAAGAGUCGAAGUUGAGAAUGACCCUACAACCAAAUUAAAAAUCUAACCUCCUGAAAUGAGCUGCCUGUUAAGUAUCAUUAGCAGUAAGAACAUGUACAUGAGAAUUUAGAGGGCCAUUGCGGUGUCGACUGCCUGUGCGGCUAUGGCGGCGCGUAGCAGGUAACACGAGAUGUGGGAUUGAGGCGUCACACAUAGCAGCCCAAAGUCAGCCGAAGGAUGCCCAGCUGGACUGGUAGAGAGCAGAGAGUACACGUGAGGUGUGGCAAAUCUGGUAUCUGCAUGUGGGUUUGUUACUAGGCUUGGUUGGAUCAUAGUUAUGAUUUGUGAUAGAUUCCUUCCUUUGAAGAUUGAAGCAGGUGAACUUUAGGGUGUAGUAUGAUCAACCUAAGAUAUAUCGGAUUUAUAUAGGUAUAGUAUGAUUGGCAUGAGUGUGGUAUUGGUGGACUAUCGGAUCAUCUUGGAUAUUACUACUUGGAUUCUAGGUUGGAGGUAACUUGGGCAUUUGGAUUUGUGAUGUUUUGACCUAAGCUUAGUAGCUUGUAUGUGCACCAUAUGGAUAUGGGCAUGUAGAUGAUAAAUGGAUCGGAGUUGGUAGACUUUGAUGAUUUUGCUAGCCCUCCUCAUAUGUAUUGGACUUAGAUAACUAUGAUACUAGGCUUGGUUGGAUCAUAGUUAUGAUUUGUGCUGGAUUCCUUCAUUUGAAGAUUGAAGCCGGAGAACUUUAGGGUGUAGAGUAAUCAACGUGAGAAUAUCGGAUUUAUAUAGGUAUAGUAUGAUUGAAAUGAGUGUGGUAUUGGUUGACUAUUGGAUCAUCUUGCAUAUUGCUACUUGGAUUCUAGGUUUAGGAUAACUCGGGCACUUGGAUUUGUGAUAUUUUGACCUAAGCUUAGUAGCUUGUAUGUGCCCCAUAUGAAUAUGAGCCAUGGAGAUGAUACAAAUGGAUAGGAGUUGGUAGACUUCGAUGAUGGCAAUUUCAAUGGCAUGUGCCUUUUUGGAGCAACUGAUCUCGCUUUUGUUAUGUGUUUGUGCUAGUUUAGAUGCAAUAGUAGUAGGAAAGUAGUAGUUAUGAAGUGAUGUUAUAUUGAUGGAUAAAUAGAUCUUUAAUAAACCUUGGAACAAUUUAGAUUUACUUAGGUGAUUGUGAUCUUGAAAAAAAAUCUCGUGGAUAUUCUUCUAAUUUUUGUAUCUAUAGUCAUGUCAUCAACUGGAAGAUUGCUUUAUAAAAUUGGACUUGGAUAACCAUGAUACUGGGCUUGCUUGGAUCAUGGUUAUGAUUUGUGCUAGAUUCCCACAUUUGAAGAUUAAAGCUGGAGAACUUUUGGGUGUAGUAUGAUCAACCUGUGAUGUAUUGGAUCAUCCUGGAUUGAAUUAGUUGUAAGGAAAUAAAGAUCUUGGAGUAAUAGAAAUGGUGUUUGGUUAGAUGAUAAAACUACUUGGAUUCUAGGUUGGAGAUAAAUUGGGCACUUGGAUUUGUGUUUGUUUUACCUAAGCUUAGUAGCUUGUAUGUGCCCCAUAUGGAUAUGAGCAUCGAGAUGAUACAAAUGGAUUGGAGUUGUUGGUAGACUUUGAUAGUUUUGAUGGCCCUCCCUAAGAAUGUUAUGACUUGUACAAGAUCAUCAUGGGAGGAUGGUUUAGAUUAAUUAGAAUAUAUGGCAAUUUGGUGGUAUGUGCCUUGUUGGAGCAGCUGAUCUCGCUUUUAUAAUGUGUUUGUUCUUAUUUAGAUGAAGUAUUAGCAAAAGCGUAGUACUUAUGAAGUUGUAUUAUAUUGGUGGAUAAAUAUAUAUUUAGUUAACCUUGAAACAAUUUGAAUUUACUUAGGUGAUUGUGAUUUUGAAAAAAAUAUAUCGGUGGAUAAAUAACUUCAAAUUUUGGAUCUAUAGUCAUCCAAUGGAAACUUGCUUGGUUGGAUCAUGCUUAUGAUCUGUGGUAGAUUCGCACAUUUGGAGAUUGAAACUAGAGAACUUUAGGAUGUAGUAUGAUCAGUCGGAGAUAUAUUGAAUUUAUAUGGCUGUAAUGAUCAACAUAAUUGUGGAAAUUGAUGGGCUAAAUCAUCUUGGAUUGAAUUAGUAGUAAGGAAACAAAGAUCUUGGAGUAAUAGAAAUAAUAUUUCCUUUAAGAUUAGAUGAUAUAACUACUUGGAUUCUAGGUUGGAGAUAACUUGACCUAAGUUUAGUAGCUUGUAUAUGCCCCAUAUGGAUAUGAGCAUGGAGAUGAUACAAAUGGAUUGUAGGUGGUAGACUUUGAUGGCCCUCCCCAAGAAUGUAUGAGUACAAGAUCAUCAUGGGACAAUGGUUUGGAUUAAUUAGAACAAAUGGAAAUUUCGGUGGUAUGUGUGCCUUGUUGGAGCAGCUGAUCUCGCUUUUAUUAUGUGUUUGUGCUCAUUUAGAUGCAGUAGUAGCAGCAACAUAGUACUUAUUCAAAGAUGAACCUAAGGGUGAAGGUUUGGAUUUGCUAAUUUCAAUCAUUAAGGUUCAUCAGUUAUUUUGAUAUUCUCAAAUCUUAUUGGAUGAUGUUUUGGUGUUGAACUCAAAGUUUUUUGGUCACUCAUGAACCUGGAACUUGAUCCAUGAGAUGAUCGCAAGUUCUCGACCCCUCUUGAUUCUUCGCUUGCUCAGUACAAUAAUUUAGUCUCCAAAGAUUCUGAUUUGGAUUAUUAUUAUUAUUGGUUGGUUCUCUAAAAAUUGGGAUUAUAUGGUCAGGGGCCGUGGUGACUUCUUGCCGACCUGCGUUUGGAUGAUCAUUACUUUCUCUAUUUAAUUUCUUCCUCUCCACAUCUCACCUUUAGUCCAACAAUUCUAAUUUGCAUUUAUUGGUGGUUUUUUAGAAAUUAGGGGUUAUACGGCUCAAUAGGGGUACUUAUCGUCUCGCUGAUCUAUGGUUGGAGAUCAUUACUCUCUCCAUUUAAUUCCCUCCUUUGCAUUGUUCAUUUUUAGUCCCUUAUAACAAUUCUAAUUUGAAUUUAUUGGUGAUUCUCCAGAAGUCUUUAAUAAAUAGUCUUAAGACCAAAGGCAUUACCAAAAGCCCCCAGCGGACCGACCACCGCCAUGACCUCAAUUUGCGCAAGGGUUUAUGAACAACACCACAUCAUCUGCGUACAAGGUUUAUGAACAACACCAGAUCAUCACCGCCAUGACCUCCUGCAUCACUGCUCGGCUAGGGCGAGGCUGAAUCCAGUCCUGCUCCUUGUUACAUCAUUUGGCACAGUUGACCCAAUGGUGUGGCAUCUCCUCCAGCGGCGGUGCACCAUCCUCAUCACCACCACCUCCCUACGCCGCAGCGGGUCAUCGGCCAGCCGCAGUGGAUAGAACGUGAUUGAGUCCACGUGUACAAGCACCGGGUAGCAUAGGAGGCACACCUCCCCCUUGCCACCAUCAAGGCCGAAACCUGGCGAGAGGGAGACAUGCAUGAGCGGGUGGGGGCAGUAAGCACAAGGCUGCACCUCGUUGGGGUCGUCCACCCAUGCCCUGAUGACAAAGUACAUGAGGUCGAGCUUGUCGAAGGAUUCGAUGGCCAUAUGGUAGAUUAGGCAUUCGGGCAACAGUUCUUGGGCGGUUUGAGGCGAGAACUCCCGCAGGGGAUGUGUUGGAUGGACAGUCUAACGAUGUAGCAGCAUUGAACCGCCACACUAGGAGCGGCGUGCCGUGGUAGUGGACUGCGUCCACCCCACGAACCAUGUCGAACCACCGGCAGUGCGUGAAGCUGGCGAAGAAAGAUCCUAGCUGCAUGAGAGAGACCUGAAAGCCGUUGUUUCGAAAGCUCCGGGAAGUCGUCCUUGAUGCCCUCAACAAUUUUUACCAGGAUUAGAGACGACCUCGUAGCCGCCACCAUGAGCACCAGCGCCAAAUCCCAUAGGUAAGAACAUAUCCUCGAUGAGGCACCUCGUCUUGCGUGAGCGGGUGUUGCCCCUCGUCGGGUCGUACACGAACAUAGCCGACAUGGAAGGCUCCAGGGACGAAAGGGCGGGUGGCUCCUUGUUGGGAAAGGUGAACCUAGAAUGAGUCGGUGAUUCGGGUGGUCGAGGGGUGGGGGGGACCAGCCUGGAUUGGACUGACUAGCGGCGGCGGGGGUGGCAGCUGCACUCACGGCCUUGGCGGUGGUCAAGGCAGGGCUAAGAGUAGUGAUGGACUCAUUAGCGGCGGCCAGGUCAUCAUGGCGGCGCGUGAAGUUCCUUCUGUAGCACAUCCUCUAGCCCAAGUGGUACAUUUGUUCAUUUGUGAUAUGUUCUGUUAGUGUUAUGUUCUCGUUGUCUCUUGCUCUGUUUCUCUUGCCCACAGGUACAUUUGUUCAUUUUCGUGGACUUGCUAUGUUCUAUUGUAAUUCGAGUUCAAAUGUCAAGUUGCGCCGCCACAAAAUGCUGCUACUUUAACUUCUGUAAGCGCAGCGAGUAGCAUAGGCGUCCGCUGCAGCUGCUCACAUGGAACGUAUGCCCUGUUGCAGCCUCGCAGGUACCCACAUCUCUCCCUCCCUCCCUCCCUCCUCUCGAUUUGAUCCCCAUAAAUUCUCAGCUUUAUUUCUCUGGAUUUUUGUAUUAUCUAUGCCUGUUAUGUCUUUGACAAAAUCCAAGCAGAUUGAGGGGAAGAUUUUGUGCUUAGUUUUUUACUCAAGUAUUUCAUCUUUCUCUCAAAUUUAGCUCCAAUGAACUGAAUUUUUUUGGCAUCACUUUUUUUCCUGGAGAUCAUUAUCAUCUCAUCUCACCACUCAUGCCACAUAACCUGGCGAGCUCACUCCUUACUCAUUCUAUGUACCACAUUUGUAGAUCAGUUUAAGGUACUGUUAAUGAACCAAAAGUUAAUGUUGUUGGCCUUGCCAAAAUGCCAUGAAGCUUGACAUGCGACAGUUCCUUCAAAGGGGUCCUUCAGCCUCCAAGGAGAAGGGAAGUGAUGGAUAGGGAAAGAAACUAGGCGAAGCUCUGGAUGCUCGAUCGAGUACGCACCCAAUUAGCACUCUACUUCGUCGGUUGUCCACUGAAAUUUGCUCCAUGACAUCUUGCUUGCCAUGUGGUCACCUUACCUCAAAAAUUGACAUAUUAUAAUCUAUGAACUACUACAAGUAAACUAUACAACCAAAUGAUUGUUCCAAAAAUUCAAAUUUGCACCAUGCUUUCCAUCUGAUCUGCCAGUUUAACUAUCUUAAUUGUACCGCAGUCGUUUGAUGUGUGGUAGUACGUGUGUGAUGAAGCAUGGUGUAGUAGCAAACUAACAACUGAAUUUUUUGACAUACCAUGGAUUUCUUUCUGCCUCUAUUUGAUGCUCGGUGGUGCUGAUCCGAAGGUCCGUGCGGACCCUGCUCUGGACAUAUGUCUCCUUAAUUUAUGUGUGCAAUUGUGCAAUCCAUGCUUUACUCUUUAAAAUGAGACAAUAAAAUUUAGCUCAUGUUGCCCUUCCAUCAUGCACCCAGAAUAUAUUACCUUUCUGCUUUUUAUAUUUUGGUUGGGCAUGUUUCAUGAUCAGAGGAUCGAUGAUUUGUGAUGAUUUGUUAUGCUAGACAAUGGAAAUAAGAUUUGGUGGAAAACAAAUGAUAUGAUACGUGAUUUAUGAUGUACUACUAUUUUAGAUAACAGUACUAAGCUUUUAUUUGGUUGUUCUGCAAUUUUUCCCUUUGCAAAGAUAGAUAUUAUAAGAGAUAAAUAUCAUGUACAGGCUAACUUUUUGUGUGCGUAUUAGUAUGCCUUGCUGCCAAGUGGAAAUAGUCUAUAUGAUGCUCAUAAAUAGAGCUUCCUGGUGGGAAGGAUGAGGCACACUCAUUGAUACUUUGGUUUUAUAUCCAUUUGUUAUACAGUUUUUCUCUUCCAAGCAUAUAAACUUUAGCAAAUUAGAGUGUGCAAUCAAGUUCCUAAGUGAUCAUUUUUACCAUAUUAUCAAGUUUGGGAGCAUAUACGAUAUGAGCAUAUAAGAUAAGAGCAUGUCAUGCUACAUGAAAAUCUGCCUGGAGAUCUAAUUUCGUAUUUUUUCGUCGGUUAGAAAACCAGUUUCCUGAGUUGUUAGUCUGAGCAUUCAAAUUGAUCCGCAGAGUUCAGGGCUUCUGGAUGGAAGAGUUUCCUACAACGUCAAAAUCUUAGUACUCUCUGCAUAGACUUCAUAAUUAUGCCUGACUUUUUCUGAGGAAUUGUUGAAGUAUGCCUUUUAUUUGGGUUGUUUGUGCAUUUGCAGUGUUGGAGGUGUUAGUGCAAGAUUGUAGAGUUGGAAAGUAUAGUAAAACGUCAGUUGGUGCAGAGACUUGGUGAAGCCAUCAGCCUCGACUGUGUCUGCUUCCCUGAUGGUUUUGACUUCUGACUAGUGAUUCUGAUGCAUAUUACUUGAUGAUUUGGUCUUUGUGGCAGCUUUCAGUUUGAACUGGCAUUCAGUGGCUUCAUCCUCUUUGGUGCAGCCUGGAGUUAGUAGUGUGCACAUCUGAAUCUCUUGACUUUUUCCUGAAGCAUAUUACGUGGUUUAUGGUGUCUGCUAACUUGCAUGCGAUUUUGAUGGAAUCUGAUCUUGUUUUUUUGCUCCCAGUAUAUACAAAAGGCUAGAAGUAAAUGAUGGAAGAUCCUUUGGUCUCAAACGAGGGUCCUACUUUCAUACCCAAAGUUUGUAUAGUAGAUAAUCAAAUAUUGGCCUUUAGCUUGCAAAUGUAUCACCUUAUAGAAGUAAAGGUUGCAUCUACAUGAGCUCUGAUUAUCUCCAUAUAUACUUGAAUUACUUUGGGGUCACGCUUGGAUUUGUCAGACUACCAUUCUACAUGCUGUUCUCGAUGAUUACACUUGAUUUGUUAAUUUAUGUACCUUAUGUCAAAAAACAUUAUCCAAAAUUUGUUUUUGGUAUACGCAGACUUUGAAAUUUGUUGAUAAAGAAAGAUCACGCCUAAUUUGCUGGCUCUCUGUUGACACUUAACAGUACUGGGCUCCUGACUUUGUAGUUGGAUAAUGUUGAUGACUCGGUAUGCGGAGAGAGGUUAGGAAUUGUUGCUAUGGACUAAAACAAUGCAGAGUUGAAGGUUCUGAACUGGGAACUUGAACAAACAGUUUGCCUACCUUUCUUGUCGAAUUGAUUUUUUAGAAACAGUUUGUAUAGUAGAUAAUCAAAGGGAUGCAGUGCAUUUACUUUCUGUGUCAGGCUGUUGUUCACUGGAAAAGGGGAAAUGCAGAAAUACGGCCGACGGGUAUCUUGUACGGUGGGCCAGGUUUGUGGUGGAGGAACACCUCCUUUAACGAUUCAAAACAGGGCCGUGGCUCAUGCCGUCAUUCCCGUCCUGAUCCGUGGCUCGUUUAGACCUCAGUAGCCGAGUAAAUGGAGGGAUGGGUUGCUGGGCAGAGUUCUCUCCUACCUCCGGCUCCUGGUUUUUUCUAUUAUCGAGUGAGGCUAGAUGGGCGGCGGAGCUUCUAUUCGAAGGAAACAAAGGCUAGCGCAGAAGAUGGAAUUUCUGAUGCAAUCGAUUAAAAGAACCACCGUGCUGGAGGACGUUAACGAUGGCAACGUACUCAUGGAGCCACUACACUGCCAGUGGUCGCAACCGUUGCAGACCCGCUGCCGCCCAUGGCGGCAGUGAGUGCGGAAGGCCAGAUCUGUGCGGCUGAUGGCAUGGUCGAUACUGAAAUCGAUGGUUUACUGCAAGCAUCCGAGCAGUCGAUUACUCGAUUUGUUAGAUGGACCCAAAAGCCCCAGCAUGGACUCGGAAGUGAGGAUCGGUGCGGCCGCUGCCGGACCGGGAAGGUCACCUUGUCCUAAUCGCACUAGUGCACUGGAGAAGGCAAUUCAUGGUUUUGCGGAAAAUCCAGGAGAUGAUGUGAUCGUCCCUGCACUAGGAACUAGCUUUGAUUGUUUGAGUGAAGCCUUCGACUAUUGCCAUUGGACUUCGAUUCUUUUGGGUGAAGCAUACGACUUUUACAAGCUUCGAUUCUUUGACAAAUCUAUAUUUUAGUAAUCCUCCUUGUUUUCUGAAACUGAUGUAUAGUGGUAUGUACAUUGAAAUGGAUUUCUAAAGUGACAGUAAAUUAGACAACUAUUUUACGAUGUGUGGCCAAAAGCCAAAAGGAUAAUUGCACUAUUAUUAGGAUCAAAUAUGAUUUCAGUCUCGAGAAAAUCUGCCUUUUCUUCUUCCUUUGUGACUUCCAAAUCUAAAUCAAAAGCCACCUGGGUUGUACUGUUUUUCAGUGCAUUUUGAAAGUUGUUAACACAAAGUAGGAACAAAUGACCCAAUUUCUUUGCAUUCAUUUUUGUUGGGUUUUGCUUUCUUUUCACCUUCAUUCUGUACUUUUGUGCUUUUGUACUGACUUUGUAUACUCCGAAUCC